GCCCGCGCCGCUCGCUGCGCCCCCCAGGGGCCGCUCUUGGAAUUGCAGGGGGUCACGGAGCUACUCCCGGCCCCGCCGCGUUGGAGCCGCUGCCAGAGUUUGCCUGGGGGGGUACACCUGUCAGAGCCUAACGUGGGGUCCGAAGGCGAGCUCGGGAAGGGCAGAGACCUCCCGUAGAGCAGAAGGGCAAAAGGUCUCUUCAUCCUGAUUUUCGGUAUGUAUACAGACUGUGAAAAUGCUUCAAAACUUAAGAAAUGCUUAACAGCAGGACUGUAGCAACCAUUUCUCCAUUUAAAGAUAAAAAAAAAGGAGGAAAAAUUUAAAAAUGGGCAUGAAAGACUGUUAAAAGAUUUGCCUUGUGAUAAGGCUUGUGGAAACCAGCCAUGCAUUCCCACAACGCGCGUCGUUUCUCAUCAGAACGGCGCUGUGGUUUGGUCCCUGACAUCAGUUAAUGGAGCAGAUUGGUUUCCAAAAGGGUAGAUGGUAUUUUGCCAUCCGCAUACAUGGCCUGGCACGGGUCAGCUAGGUCUGGGCUACAGCUGGUACCGCAGCCAUCCCACCGCAUCCUCCUCCUGCAGCAAGCGCCAGCAUGCUCAGGCAGGUCCAGCAGCAAAGGGCACUACAGCAGCCCAAGAGCUAGUAUUACAGAAUGGUUAAAGCUAAAUUACCUCGGCUGAACUGCGAGCAGGAGCUGGAAGGGGAGGAAAACCACGUGGUACAAAACCAGCUCCGGUGGGAUGGGAUUUCACAGCAGAAUUCACAUAGCUCCAGCUUUGGAGCUGCUCAAGGACAAGGUGUGGCAGUUUCUCCCCUGCUUUCAACAGUGGAGGAAAUGAGACGGUGGAUGCUCCUCUCAUGCCUCUUGAAGCUUACACAGGUGUGGGGCUGUCCAUCUGUGCUGGGCCAAGGGGUGUUCUGUGCCACUGAGCUCAAGCAUGCCACCUCUCUGGUGUGGGAGGAACAGAGCAUAACCGUUUCCAGGAGGCUCCAAGUCAUGCUCAUCUGUGUUUUUCCAUGAGCCCCGAAAUUCUGCGGUCAUGUAAUGACAGCUCUCCUUACUGCUCAGUUACAGGAUCUGAUCCUGGAGGCUUCCAUGGUUUCACCCAGUAUUUAUUUAUCCCCAUCACAUGAAUUUUGGGAGUAUCCAUUUCAAAACACUUUGUGUUUUCUGUCCUCCUGUGACCCUGGCACACAGGGAUGCCAUCAAUUCCUUGCUGGAUUUUCUCUAUUUUACCCGUAGGGGCCUUUCAGGCCAGUCUAGAGAAGAAAGAUAUCUGCAGUUUAAAAAAAUAAUUCUUGUUUCUAGUGAAUGCAGCUUGGGUAGCAGGAAUAAUGUCAGCACAAGUCUGUACUAAGUGAGUUUAAUAGUUACCAUUUCUCUCUAAUGUUUAACUCGUGGCCUAAAGCUGGUUAGUGAUUUGUGUCCUGUACCACCAUGCAAGCUGUACUCCUUAAAGGUCCACAAAUCCAACCUCCCUUUACUCUAAUAAUAAUAAUAAUAAUAAAAAUAAAAAAGGUAUUAUGAUCUUCCUGACUUAGUGUGAAUAACAGUUUUACUCUGAACUGGAGACUUCCAGAGAUCCCUUCAACCCCCUCACUAUUGCCAAGCGUGGGAGAGAGCCUAACCUCUGCGAGCUGCUGCUACUGUGGCUCUGACCUUCUUCUCCUGGGGCUGCGAGUGCCUCUCAGAGGAGCUGUUAAGCAGGCAGUUUUGCUGGGAGAACGCAGGCGCUGGAGCAGCUCUCACCGAUGCCAGGGGGAGUUUUGUCCUGGAGCACCACUGCACACGUCAAUCUUAUUAGCUGCCUUAUGCACGAGUCAUAGCACGAGGGCUGAAGGCUGGAUGUGUUUGUUCUGCAAAUUGGGCUAAUGUUGUGAAGACCAUAAAAGGGGAAGACCCACUAACUUCGAUAUGCAGCAACAUCAGUAGCCUCUGAUUCAUGGAGCCCUUCACCUUCUCACUGAAUCAAGGAGAGAAAAGGUGGUUUUGCCUCCUGCAAGGCUGGCCCUGUGCCAUGUUGCUUCACCCUGAUCACACAGAGCAAGGAGCACAGACUGCCCUUCGUGAGCACCUGCCUACCCUGGAGCAAGCCCUUACAUGUGUAAAUAGCAAUUACUGCAGUAAUGAAGUAUCAGUGUGGAUGCUCCCUGACCUGUUUGGUAUCAGCAAACAAAGCAGAAGACACAUCCUUUCCUUUGGAAGAAGCUGAAGCUUUCCCCUUUCAUGAAUCUGCUGGUCUGAGAAGCUUGUGGGUACUGGCCAGGCACUCCUGCAAGGUCUCCGUGUCAUGAUGCUCCUCAGCUGACUCACCCCAUUCAUCUCUUUGGGAAGUGUGGCUCGG
ensembl:lncRNA